AACGAACGCUGGCGGCAGGCUUAACACAUGCAAGUCGAACGAUGUAGCAAUACAUAGUGGCGCACGGGUGAGUAACGCGUGGGAAUAUACCAAUCAGUGGGGAAUAACGUUGGGAAACUAACGCUAAUACCGCAUACGCCCGAGAGGGGAAAGAUUUAUCGCUGAUUGAUUAGCCCGCGUGAGAUUAGGUAGUUGGUGGGGUAAUGGCCUACCAAGCCUACGAUCUCUAGCUGGUCUGAGAGGAUGAUCAGCCACACUGGAACUGAGACACGGUCCAGACUCCUACGGGAGGCAGCAGUGGGGAAUAUUGGACAAUGGGCGCAAGCCUGAUCCAGCCAUGCCGCGUGAAUGAUGAAGGCCUUAGGGUUGUAAAGUUCUUUCGCCGAUGAAGAUAAUGACGGUAGUCGGAGAAGAAGCCCCGGCUAACUUCGUGCCAGCAGCCGCGGUAA
rnacentral:rRNA from 1 species